rnacentral:rRNA from 1 species
GACGAACGCUGGCGGCGUGCUUAACACAUGCAAGUCGAACGGAAAGGCCCUGCCUUUGUGGGGUGCUCGUGUGGCGAACGGGUGAGUAACACGUGAGUAACCUGCCCUUGACUUUGGGAUAACUUCAGGAAACUGGGGCUAAUACCGGAUAGGAGCUCCUGCUGCAUGGUGGGGGUUGGAAAGUUUCGGCGGUUGGGGAUGGACUCGCGGCUUAUCAGCUUGUUGGUGGGGUAGUGGCUUACCAAGGCUUUGACGGGUAGCCGGCCUGAGAGGGUGACCGGCCACAUUGGGACUGAGAUACGGCCCAGACUCCUACGGGAGGCAGCAGUGGGGAAUAUUGCACAAUGGGCGGAAGCCUGAUGCAGCAACGCCGCGUGCGGGAUGACGGCCUUCGGGUUGUAAACCGCUUUCGCCUGUGACGAAGCGUGAGUGACGGUAAUGGGUAAAGAAGCACCGGCUAACUACGUG